GGUUGUGGCUCAGUGGUAGAGUGCUCGCCUAGCACGUACGAGGUGCUGUGUUGGAUCCUCAGCACCA
rnacentral:tRNA from 1 species